CCAACAGGGAUUACCUCAGUAACGGCGAGUGAAGCGGUAACAGCUCAAAUUUGAAAUCUGGCUCUUUCAGGGUCCGAGUUGUAAUUUGUAGAAGAUGCUUCGGGUGUGGCCCCGGUCUAAGUUCCUUGGAACAGGACGUCAUAGAGGGUGAGAAUCCCGUAUGUGACUGGGUGCCUUCGCUCAUGUGAAGCUCUUUCGACGAGUCGAGUUGUUUGGGAAUGCAGCUCAAAAUGGGUGGUAAAUUUCAUCUAAAGCUAAAUAUUGGCCAGAGACCGAUAGCGCACAAGUAGAGUGAUCGAAAGAUGAAAAGCACUUUGGAAAGAGAGUUAAACAGUACGUGAAAUUGUUGAAAGGGAAGCGCUUGCAACCAGACUUGCACGUUGUCGAUCAUCCGGGGCUCGCCCCGGUGCACUCGAUUUCGUUCAGGCCAGCAUCGGUUUCGGUGGUGGGAUAAAGGCCUUGGGAAUGUAGCUUCUUUCGGGGAGUGUUAUAGCCCUCGGUGCAAUGCCGCCUACCGGGACCGAGGACCGCGCUUCGGCUAGGAUGCUGGCGUAAUGGUUGUAAGCGACCCGUCUUGAAACACGGACCAAGGAGUCUAACAUCUAUGCGAGUGUUUGGGUGUCAAACCCAUACGCGUAAUGAAAGUGAACGGAGGUGAGAACCCUUAAGGGUGCAUCAUCGACCGAUCCUGAUGUCUUCGGAUGGAUUUGAGUAAGAGCAUAGCUGUUGGGACCCGAAAGAUGGUGAACUAUGCGUGAAUAGGGUGAAGCCAGAGGAAACUCUGGUGGAGGCUCGCAGCGGUUCUGACGUGCAAAUCGAUCGUCAAAUUUGCGUAUAGGGGCGAAAGACUAAUCGAACCAUUAACUACUACUAGGUGGUUAAGAGGCCGCGGAGACGCGCGCCUAGUCCUCUGGUGAGGGCGACAUUGUCAAAUUGUUCGGGGACGUCCUGUCAACUCCAAGCUACCGCAGCCG
rnacentral:rRNA from 1 species